rnacentral:rRNA from 1 species
ACAGGAUUAGAUACCCUGGUAGUCCACGCCGUAAACGAUGUCGACUUGGAGGUUGUGCCCUUGAGGCGUGGCUUCCGGAGCUAACGCGUUAAGUCGACCGCCUGGGGAGUACGGCCGCAAGGUUAAAACUCAAAUGAAUUGACGGGGGCCCGCACAGGCGGUGGAGCAUGUGGUUUAAUUCGAUGCAACGCGAAGAACCUUACCUACUCUUGACAUCCACGGAAUUCGCCAGAGAUGGCUUAGUGCCUUCGGGAACCGUGAGACAGGUGCUGCAUGGCUGUCGUCAGCUCGUGUUGUGAAAUGUUGGGUUAAGUCCCGCAACGAGCGCAACCCUUAUCCUUUGUUGCCAGCACGUAAUGGUGGGAACUCAAAGGAGACUGCCGGUGAUAAACCGGAGGAAGGUGGGGAUGACGUCAAGUCAUCAUGGCCCUUACGAGUAGGGCUACACACGUGCUACAAUGGCAUAUACAAAGAGAAGCGAACUCGCGAGAGCAAGCGGACCUCAUAAAGUAUGUCGUAGUCCGGAUUGGAGUCUGCAACUCGACUCCAUGAAGUCGGAAUCGCUAGUAAUCGUAGAUCAGAAUGCUACGGUGAAUACGUUCCCGGGCCUUGUACACACCGCCCGUCACACCAUGGGAGCGGGUUCUGCCAGAAGUAGUUAGCCUAACCGCAAGGAGGGCGAUUACCACGGCAGGGUUCGUGACUGGGGUGAAGUCGUAACAAGGUAACC